AAGAACCUGUCUUGGGUCUUCAAUUUGUCCAUGGGUGUUCAGAAGGAAUUUGCAGGUUGAAAAAAAAAAACAAAAAACCUCUGUACUAGAGAAAGAAUCACUGUCCAAUGGCCUCCUUUCCUGGUCCCUUCCCCUAGUAUAGACACACCAUAGAAUGUGUGUCUCUCAUUCAUUCCAGGCACAGCACCUUCUGCACCCAGGCUGGAAUCCCACGUCCCAGUUUUCAGAGUUGAAGACUUGACUCCUACUGCAUUAGCAAAGGCCACCUCUCUUGUCCUCAAGAAGUUGCUCUGCUAGCCAGGCCCAGAAGUGACCAAUAGCUCCACUGUAUCCCAAGGAUUAUGAGGACAUCACCAAGCAAGCAGGCUGCCUCCAUGGAAGCCGAACACAGAAAAGUAUGCACAGCAAUGAUCAGCUGUUCAUGAGGAAUGUCUGUGAGAAGUGGGAGUAAAGGACCCAGUUGUUCUGACCCUGAGUAGGUCCAGAUCUUGUUGGUCAGGACCAGAUUAUCUUACGACCAAGGAAUAACUUGCCAGAACAUCCAGUUCCAGUGCUGUCGGAUAUCCUUGGAUUUCCCGAUGUGGGCUAUUUUCUGAGGCCAGACCGACCUUUCUCAGAGUGGCAGUCAAAGGCUCUAUAGCUCAAGAGUUACACAGAUUCUCAUGGUCUGUGUGAAGAUGCCCAACGUCUUUAGCUCUGAUGACGUCAGGUUUUCAAUGACCCACAGUUAGUUUCUAUCCUUUUCUCCUAUUGAAGUCUAACCACAAACUUCCCCUCUGUUAUGACUCACAGUUAGCCUUUCAUUUUACAGUGGUCCAUCUGCCAAUGUCGACUGUGCUGUGGUUUGGUAUGGAAUGUCCCUCAAAGGCUCAUAUGUUGAAGGUUUAAUCUCUAGCUGGUGGUGUUAUUGACUGUGAUCCAUUGAUUCUUUCUUUCUUUCUUUUUAUUUUUUUUAAAAAAAACAUGUUUUUGUAAUUAGCUCUUUGAGAAUUUUGUACAAUGUUGUGUAAAUCAUAUUUACCAUUUCCUCAA